AGUAACCUGCCUUGGAGGUGGGGGAAGUAACACAGUGAAAAUUAGUGCUAAUACCGCAUAAUGCAUUUGGAUCGCAUGGUUCUGAAUGCCAAAGAUUUAUCGCUCUGAGAUGGACUCGCGUCUGAUUAGCUAGUUGGCGGGGCAACGGCCCACCAAGGCGACGAUCAGUAGCCGGACUGAGAGGUUGAACGGCCACAUUGGGACUGAGACACGGCCCAG
rnacentral:rRNA from 1 species